rnacentral:rRNA from 1 species
CUACGGGACGCAGCAGUGAGGAAUAUUGGUCAAUGGUCGCAAGACUGAACCAGCCAUGCCGCGUGCAGGAAGACGGUCCUAUGGAUUGUAAACUGCUUUUAUACAGGAAGAAACCCUCCCACGUGUGGGAGCUUGACGGUACUGUAGGAAUAAGGAUCGGCUAACUCCGUGCUAGCAGCCGCGGUAAUACGGAGGAUCCAAGCGUUAUCCGGAAUCAUUGGGUUUAAAGGGUCCGUAGGCGGCCUUAUAAGUCAGUGGUGAAAGCCCAUCGCUCAACGAUGGAACUGCCAUUGAUACUGUAAGGCUUGAAUUUUUGUGAAGUAACUAGAAUAUGUAGUGUAGCGGUGAAAUGCUUAGAUAUUACAUGGAAUACCAAUUGCGAAGGCAGGUUACUAACAAACGAUUGACGCUGAUGGACGAAAGCGUGGGGAGCGAACAGGAUUAGAUACCCCGGUAGUC